rnacentral:tRNA from 1 species
GGAAGGGUGGCUGAGUGGUCGAAAGUACCUGACUCGAAAUCAGGCGUAGGUUAACCCCUACCGGGGGUUCGAAUCCCUCCCCUUCCGCCA